rnacentral:misc_RNA from 1 species
UUUCUCUCCUCCUUCACUGAACUCGAAGCUACCAGAAAGAUGUCGCUGAGAGUACUCAAUCCAAAUGCGGAGGUUCUCAACAAAUCCGCCGCUCUGCACAUGAAUAUCAAUGCCGCCAAGGGCCUUCAAGACGUUCUCAAGAGCAAUCUCGGUCCUAAAGGAACCAUCAAAAUGCUUGUGGGUGGUGCCGGAGAUAUCAAGCUCACCAAAGAUGGCAACACUUUGCUUAAAGAAAUGCAAAUUCAAAAUCCUACAGCAAUUAUGAUUGCAAGAACAGCUGUUGCCCAGGACGACACCAGUGGGGAUGGCACUACUUCUACCGUGAUUUUUAUUGGCGAGCUUAUGAAACAGUCAGAACGUUACAUUGAUG